UUGGAACCAAUAGCCUAGCACUCAGAAAUGACUUUUGUCUCCUGGGAUGAAUGGAAAUUGCUCAUGAUCCCUUUUCUGUAACUGCCAGACGGAUAUCUACUUGACGAGGUUACUACAUUCAACCAUUACACGUACCCCUGUGCUCAGAGAAAUUUCUGUCACAAAAUGGCGGAGACAAACGUUAAUAGACCCCAUUUUGUGGAGUAGAAAGUCUAUGGGUGCAGCUAACUUUACCCACUGGAUAUCAACGAUUCAGCUAAAUAAAUAGCAACAAUACUGACAUUAGCGGCUCGUCAACAUUGAGGCAUUCGAUUUCGGAUUCACUAGUUGACGGUGGCUGCUAGCUAGUUAGCCACAUUUAGCCAGCAGCUAACGUUAGCCACAUAGCUAGCCAGUUUUAGAUCCAGGACAGUUUAUGAAUGGGUUUGGAAUUAAGCAAAUAUUCCGUGUUUCCUUCCAUGAGCAGAAGGGUUUUAUUUGCUGACAUGGUGGCAACGUAGCUAGCUAUUAUUGGACAGGUCCUUGACAUUUCCUGGAUCUCAACUGGAAUACAUUUUAUUACUGCUGGUAAACCCAUAACGUG